AUUGAACGCUGGCGGCAGGCCUAACACAUGCAAGUCGAACGGUAACAGGAAACAGCUUGCUGUUUCGCUGACGAGUGGCGGACGGGUGAGUAAUGUCUGGGAAACUGCCUGAUGGAGGGGGAUAACUACUGGAAACGGUAGCUAAUACCGCAUAACGUCGCAAGACCAAAGAGGGGGACCUUCGGGCCUCUUGCCAUCGGAUGUGCCCAGAUGGGAUUAGCUAGUAGGUGGGGUAACGGCUCACCUAGGCGACGAUCCCUAGCUGGUCUGAGGGGAUGACCAGCCACCCUGGAACUGAGACACGGGCCAGACUCCUACGGGAGGCAGCAGUGGGGAAUAUUGCACAAUGGGCGCAAGCCUGAUGCAGCCAUGCCGCGUGUAUGAAGAAGGCCUUCGGGUUGUAAAGUACUUUCAGCGGGGAGGAAGGGAGUAAAGUUAAUACCUUUGCUCAUUGACGUUACCCGCAGAAGAAGCACCGGCUAACUCCGUGCCAGCCGCCGCAGUAA
rnacentral:rRNA from 1 species